AGGAAUGUAUAGCAAUAGCUACUUGCAUCAUUGUAAAGNUGAAGAAUUAUGAUAAGNCNUUGUCUGCCUAUGUGUCUUGACCAAAUUGGUAAUACGUAGAAGACUAGUGUUAUUCAUGUUUAAUCGGUUUAAGGGUNCCUAGNCGGUAAAUCAAGCUUUCAAAAAAAAAAAGAAUUAAAGGACUAAUUUACUAGAGUUACUUAUGAGGGGGUUUUAAAGUACUGCUGGUGUAGAGAUGAAAUUCUGUCAUACCUUUUUUCAAAAGAAAAAUCAUGGCACAGGUAUAGGCGAAGGCAUCCCCUUAUGUGAUAACUGACGUUGAGGGACGAAGGCUUUGUAUAGCGAACAGGAUUAGAUACCCCAGUAGUCGAAGCAGAAAAUGAUGAAUGUCAUAGAUUAGAUAUAUAAGUUUAUUCUAUAAAUGAAAGUGUAAGCAUUCCACCUCAUGAGUAAUUUGGCAACAUUGGAACUGAAAUCAUUAGACCGUUUCUGAAACCAGUAGUGAAGUAUGUUGUUUAAUUUGAUGCUCCGCAAAAAACCUUACCACAAUUUGAAUAUUUAUAUUUUUUUAUUGUUUUCUUCUUAAUUUUCUUUUAAGAACAAUAAAAAAGAAAGAUGAAAAGAAAUAAAAGAAAAGAAGAAAUUUAAUAAAGAGGCAAUAAGAUAUAUUUACAAGCGUUGCACGGCUGUCUUCAGUUAAUGUCGCGAGACUUUGGUUAGUUCCAUUAAAUUAACGUAAACCCUUACUUUAUUUUUAGAUAGAGUAGUUUCCCCGCUAUAUUGGAUAAGAU
rnacentral:rRNA from 1 species